GGGGAGAGAGUAUAUAUCCUCUCGCGCCAUGCAGUCGAGCGGACAGAUGGGAGCUUGCUCCCUGAUGUUAGCGGCGCACUGGUGAGUAACACGUGGGUAACCUGCCUGUAAGACUGGGAUAACUCCGGGAAACCGGGGCUAAUACCGGAUGGUUGUCUGAACCGCAUGGUUCAGACAUAAAAGGUGGCUGGGUCGGCUACCACUUACAGAUGGACCCGCGGCGCAUUAGCUAGUUGGUGAGGUAACGGCUCACCAAGGCAACGAUGCGUAGCCGACCUGAGAGGGUGAUCGGCCGGGGGGGGACACUGGGACUGAAACACGGCCCAAACUCCUACGGGAGGCAGCAGUAGGGAAUCUUCCGCAAUGGACGAAAGUCUGACGGAACAACGCCGCGUGAGUAUACCCUGAUGAAGGUUUUCGGAUCGUAAAGCUCUGUUGUUAGGGAAGAACAAGUGCCGUUCAAAUAGGGCGGCACCUUGACGGUACCUAACCAGAAAGCCACGGCUAACUACGUGCCAGCAGCCGCGGUAAUACGGCGCGCGCGCUAUUUUAUUAUUAGGUGGCAAGCGUUGUCCGGAAUUAUUGGGCGUAAAGGGCUCGCAGGCGGUUUCUUAAGUCUGAUGUGAAAGCCCCCGGCUCAACCGGGGAGGGUCAUUGGAAACUGGAGAACUUGAGUGCAGAAGAGGAGAGUGGAAUUCCACGUGUAGCGGUGAAAUGCGUAGAGAUGUGGAGGAACACCAGUGGCGAAGGCGACUCUCUGGUCUGUAACUGACGGGGGCUGAGGAGCGAAAGCGUGGGGAGCGAACAGGAUUAGAUACCCUGGUAGUCCACGCCGUAAACGAUGAGUGCUAAGUGUUAGGGGGUUUCCGCCCCUUAGUGCUGCAGCUAACG
rnacentral:rRNA from 1 species